rnacentral:rRNA from 1 species
GUCGAGAGAUCCUGCGCCGAAAAUGUCCGGGGCUCAAACUUACCACCGAAGCUACGGGCUCAAGUUUACUUGAGCGGUAGAGGAGCGUCGUAAUCGGGCUGAAGUCGUACCGUAAGGAGCGGUGGACUGAUUACGAGUGAGAAUGUUGGCAUUAGUAGCGAGAUGUAAGUGAGAAUCUUACAGGCCGAAAAUCUAAGGUUUCCUGGGGAAGGCUCGUCCGCCCAGGGUUAGUCGGGACCUAAGCCGAGGCCGAAAGGCGUAGGUGAUGGACAAUUGGUUGAUAUUCCAAUACCACUAUUAUCGUUAUUAUCGAUGGUGUGACGGAGAAGGAUAGGAUGUGCUAGCGAUUGGAAAUGCUAGUCUAAGCAUUUAGGGAGUUAAAGUAGGCAAAUCCGCUUUAACAAUUCUGAGGUGUGAUGGGGAAGGUCAUUUUGACUGAAGUAUCUGAUUCCAUGCUUCCAAGAAAAGCAUCUAGAGAGAGAAGUAGUGCCCGUACCGCAAACCGACACAGGUAGAUGAGGAGAGAAUCCUAAGGCCAUCGGAAGAAUUGCAGUUAAGGAACUAGGCAAAUUGACCCCGUAAGUUCGCGAGAAGGGGUGCCUGUGAGAGCAGGCCGCAGAGAAUAGGCCCAAGCAACUGUUUAGCAAAAACACAGGUCUCUGCUAAAGCGUAAGCUGAUGUAUAGGGGCUGACGCCUGCCCGGUGCUGGAAGGUUAAGGGGAACACUUAGCGCAAGCGAAGGUGUGAA